rnacentral:rRNA from 1 species
GAACUUGAGAGUUUGAUCCUGGCUCAGAGCGAACGCUGGCGGCAUGCUUAACACAUGCAAGUCGCACGGGCAGCAAUGUCAGUGGCGGACGGGUGAGUAACGCGUAGGAACAUGUCCA